AGUGCGACAGCCUUAUGCUCCCACACUCAUGGCACCUGAGUUCUUAUCCGGCGUCCGGGAGGAAUGAGGUCACAUGAACGAACUGAAGAUGAUUUUUAGAGGAUUUUUAGAAGGAAAGGUAACCUUUGCUCCGACAUAUAAGUAUGACUUGUUUUCUGACGACUAUGACACCAGUGAAAAGUGCCGCACCCCUGCAUGGACAGACCGUGUCCUUUGGAGAAGGAGGAAAUGGCCUUUUGAUAGAUCAGCUGAAGAUCUAGAUCUUCUAAAUGCUAGUUUUCAAGAUGAAAGCAAAAUCCUGUACACGUGGACUCCAGGCACUUUGCUGCACUAUGGAAGAGCUGAGCUGAAGACUUCUGACCAUAGGCCUGUCAUUGCCCUGAUUGAUAUAGAUAUAUUUGAAGUUGAAGCUGAAGAGAGGCAAAACAUUUAUAAAGAAGUAAUUGCAGUUCAGGGUCCACCAGAUGGUACAGUAUUGGUCUCAAUCAAAAGUUCUUCACCAGAAAAUAAUUUUUUUGAUGAUGCCUUGAUUGAUGAGCUUCUGCAGCAGUUUGCAAGUUUUGGUGAAGUUAUACUUA
rnacentral:sRNA from 1 species